rnacentral:rRNA from 1 species
UACGGGGGGGGCAAGCGUUGUUCGGAAUUACUGGGCGUAAAGGGCUCGUAGGCGGCCAAGUAAGUCAUACGUGAAAUCCCUCGGCUUAACCGGGGAACUGCGUCUGAUACUGGAUGGCUUGAGUUCGGGAGAGGGAUGCGGAAUUCCAGGUGUAGCGGUGAAAUGCGUAGAUAUCUGGAGGAACACCGGUGGCGAAGGCGGCAUCCUGGACCGAUACUGACGCUGAGGAGCGAAAGCCAGGGGAGCAAACGGG